CGUUCGUCCAGGCGGGUUUCCAGCCGGCCUCGCGGAGCGCGGCGGCGUCGACCACCCAGGGGUAGACGACGUAGUGCAGGUCGGUGGCGGGGGC
rnacentral:tRNA from 1 species